rnacentral:rRNA from 1 species
GACGUAGGGGGCGAGCGUUGUCCGGAGUUACUGGGCGUAAAGCGUGCGCAGGCGGUCGUGCGCGUUUCGGCUGACAGCUCCCGGCUUAACUGGGAGAGGGGUGCGAAAAACGGCGCGACUUGAGGGGCCGAGAGGGACAUGGAACUCCGGGUGGAGCGGUGAAAUGCGUAGAGAUCCGGAAGAACACCGAUGGCGCAGGCAGUGUCCUGGCGGCCCACUGACGCUGAGGGACGAAAGCGAGGGGAGCGAACGGG